UCAUUGUCACCUAUUUGAAAUGCAAAGGAAAUAUUAUUCGGUAAGUUUUUCGGAUAAACCAUGUGCAUGUAUGUUACUGCAAAAAAAUAUGAUUGAUUUUUGUUGUAAUUUCGAAAGAGAAAAAAAAUACAUACAAUCAGUAUUUCCAUAUGUAAAAUACUAAUGAGAUAAAUUAUUAGAAAAAGUGUGAGAUAGAAAAGAAGAACCUUCUCCUUCUUGAGGAGCUGGUGCAUUUGAGGUCUUCAAUAAUUGUUUACAGCAUCCAAGUCUUCUUCAAAAACUAAACUUUCAGCAUCUGAGUUUACAGUGUCUGUGUCGUAUCUGAUGUCCGUGUCCGUAUCCGUGCUACCUUGUUGGCAACAGUUGUCGAGGAACCGACCAACUGGUAAGUCAGUUUCGACAUUGCAUGUUGCAAUAUCUGUCUGAAUAGCUUCUUCAAUAAUUGAAAUUACAGCAUCUGAAUCUUCCUGAGAAACCAAACUUUCAGCAUCUGAAUUUACAGUGUCCGUGUCCGUAUCUGUGCUACCUUGUUGGCAACAGUUGCUGAGGAACCGACCAAUGAAUUGACCAAUGAUAUGGAGGUUCGAGAUUUUUUUCUGUU
rnacentral:lncRNA from 1 species